rnacentral:lncRNA from 1 species
UUAGAAUGAAUGGUGUUAGUGAAUGAACUAAGCAGCUUGUGCUUCGUGAAAACAGGAGCAUGAACUUUGUCAUUCCAUUUUGCAUAUGAACAAAAGGCCCCUAAAAUUAGUAGUAACUUUUUACCUUUUCCCAUCCAUAUUGGAUGAGGUAUCCUUUUACUAUUAUCAUUACAUACAAGUAUAUUCAAUAUAGAAGUCUUUUAGAAAACUUCUCCACCGGACCGGCGCGAGAAAGGUGCUGGGGAGUCGUAAACGAAGUCAGCUGAAGAAAAAAACAGUAAGUAAUCAACUACGCUAGCGAGCAGAGUAUUGAUUUAUCAUGUAUUUACGCGUCUAUUAAGUUGUGUUUGUGGGAUCUUCGAUUUGGACUUUCCGGCGCGAUUGGUACCACGACAUCUUCGAUCAGAGCCUACAGAUUUCGACCACUUUGCUUGUAUCAUUUGUUCAUCACGUUUUUAAUUUUCCCCAUUUUUGCACAUAUGACAUAUACCAGCUUCAUUUGGUAUGUAAUCUCUUGUCUCUAUUCUGUUGAACAACCCUUUAUUCUUUUAUCAUAUCAUUAUGUUCCUUUCUUUUUAAGUGAUUCAGAAUAUUGUUGUUUAUAUUGUUUGUAAGAAAAUUGAAAUCUUGUUUUUUUUAAUUGGUUUUUUACUGUCCGUGUGAAUUAGGUUUUUGAUUUAUCAUUUAGAUGUGAUUUAUAUUUUUGAUUUGUUAUAAAUCACAAUAUGUUGGAACUAUGUAACAUCUUGGUCGGUGGUGGUGCUGGUGGUGUAGCGGUGGUUGUUCCGGCGGCUGAAUCCGUUAUGUUUUUGAAUCCAUAAUUAUUAUGAAUUUGAUUUUUAGGCAAUAAUUCUUUUUUUUUUAAAUUGGAGUGGCUUUAAUUACGGAUCCGUUUUGUUGACUAUUUAUUAUUGGACUCUAUUAGCAUCAAUUUGAAUAGUUACAUUUUAAAUUGUGAUUGUGAUUGGAUAGAUACUUUUUAUGAAUAUUCAAUACCAUUUAUGAGAGUCAUUAAGAAUGACUUUAUUGUGCCUUUAAUGACUUUAUUGUGCCUUUGAUGGCUUUUUGUUCCACU